UGGGGAAUUUUCCGCAAUGGGCGCAAGCCUGACGGAGCAAUACCGCGUGAGGGAGGAAGGCCUUUGGGUUGUAAACCCCUUUCAGGAGGGAAGAAAUUGACGGUGCCUCCAGAAGAAGGACCGGCCAACUACGUGCCAGCAGCCGCGGUAAUACGUAGGGUCCUAGCGUUAUCCGGAAUCAUUGGGCGUAAAGAGCUCGUAGGCGGUUCAGCAAGUCGGCUGUGAAAGUCCGAGGCUCAACCUCGGAAUUGCAGUCGAUACUGCUGUGACUCGAGUCCGGUAGAGGAGAAUGGAAUUCUCGGUGUAGCGGUGAAAUGCGCAGAUAUCGAGAGGAACACCAGUAGCGAAGGCGGUUCUCUGGGCCGGCACUGACGCUGAGGAGCGAAAGCGUGGGGAGCAAACAGGAUUAGAUACCCCCGUAGUCC
rnacentral:rRNA from 1 species